rnacentral:rRNA from 1 species
UACGGAGGGAGCUAGCGUUAUUCGGAAUUACUGGGCGUAAAGCGCACGUAGGCGGCUUUGUAAGUUAGAGGUGAAAGCCCAGGGCUUAACUCUGGAAUUGCCUUUAAGACUGCAUCGCUAGAAUCGUGGAGAGGUGAGUGGAAUUCCGAGUGUAGAGGUGAAAUUCGUAGAUAUUCGGAAGAACACCAGUGGCGAAGGCGACUCACUGGACACGUAUUGACGCUGAGGUGCGAAAGCGUGGGGAGCAAACAGG